AGAGGCUACCGGAGAGAUUGACUGGCUCUGCGCCUUAGCGCCUGUUUUGUCUGUUCGCUCACAGAAAGAGAUCGCGCAACUCAAACAGGAUGGAGAGACCAUGCGGAAAGAGACCGUGGGGAAUCUGCAGCGCUUGUCAGAGCGAGUUCAGGCCGAAGUGUCCGACCUCAAAUCGUCUCUUAAAAGCUGGCAGUCGGAGGAUAGUGCCCGGGCACUGGAGAAGCUGGCCCGCCUGGAGCAGGAGCUGAC
rnacentral:lncRNA from 1 species